GGGCCCGUGGUAGCAAAGUUAAUUGGGCUGGGCCCGUUGCGGUAAUGUAGGGUUUUGUUAAACUUAGUAUAAAGUUUGUUUAAGAUUUCUGACCGCCGAGUCGUCUCUUUCUUUCUUUCGAUCACCCUUAACGCCUCGCCGUCGUCUGUCGUGCAAGAGAAAAUGGGAUUUCUUGGUAUGGUUGGAUACGCAACCCGUUUUGUUGCAGGAGCAAGCUGUGGAUGGGUCCUUGGAAUCUGUACGCUCAAAUAUCAGUUCUUAGGGAAUGAAGAGGAAACGUUGAAGCCAAAAGAAGAUGUGGUGAAUAAUUAGCGUAUGGUCUAAGAUUAUUAGGGUUGCUAUUAUGUAUGUUUCUUCUGACUAUGCUUUGGUAUUAUGUUAUCCUUUUUGCUAAUAAAAAAAGAAGGUGCAUCAGUUGUAAUGACGAUAAAUGAUAUGAAAUUAGCUGUUUCGACGCA